GAAUCCUCAAACAAAAUGCAAGAAAAUGAGUUUUCUGGUAGCCUGCAAUGCUAUCCAGAGAUCAUAUUUUCUUCCUGCAGGCCUUGUGCUGAGCACUUCGUCAUCUCACUCAGUUCUCACAAUAACCUCCUCAGGAAACUUCCUCAGAGAGCUUAAGUAACUUGCCUAACAUCACACAGGAAGAGCUGGAAUUUAAAUAUAGACAGGCUGACUACAAACCUGGUUCCCCAAACUAGGGGGAAGAAUACCCAGGGACCUGCUGUAGGAUGUUGGGGUGAGGAGGUGAAAAGCAACGGACAGAUAGAUGACCCAGUGAUUCAUUUCUUUCUGUCUUUCUCUGCCCAUGAAAGCCCUUUCCCCUGCUCUCAGAACAAUCAAAGAACAGCUGCACCAACUGGAUCACGGCGCAGGGAAUAGGAGGCUGAUUGAAGGUUUUGUUCCUCUCAGCUCUUAGUGCUUAAGGAUGACGACGACGGUGACGGGAUCCUGGGAGGAGAUGUUGCUACAGUCAAGAAAGCUUCCUGAAACGAGCCAGUCCCCCCAAACCAGAGGUCGAAUGUUCUCUGUGUAUGUGGAUUCUAACCCACGAUAAGGGGUGGUGGAGGUAGGGAAGAAUAGAAGUUCAUUGGACAAGAC